UACCAGUUGGAUAAUGCACUUCCU
rnacentral:piRNA from 1 species